UGCAGUCGAUCGCUCUUUUCGGAGAGAGAGGCGCACGGGUGAGUAACACGUGGGAAUAUACCCUUGAGUACGGAAUAACUAUUGGAAACGAUAGCUAAUACCGUAUACGCCCUACGGGGGAAAGAUUUAUCGCUCAAGGAUUAGCCCGCGUCUGAUUAGCUAGUUGGUGAGGUAAUGGCUCACCAAGGCGACGAUCAGUAGCUGGUUUGAGAGAAUGAUCAGCCACACUGGGACUGAGACACGGCCCAGACUCCUACGGGAGGCAGCAGUGGGGAAUAUUGGACAAUGGGCGCAAGCCUGAUCCAGCCAUGCCGCGUGAGUGAAGAAGGCCUUCGGGUUGUAAAGCUCUUUCAGACGUGAAGAUGAUGACGGUAACGUCAGAAGAAGCCCCGGCUAACUUCGUGCCAGCAGCCGCGGUAAUACGAAGGGGGCAAGCGUUGUUCGGAAUUACUGGGCGUAAAGCGCGCGUAGGCGGCGUCGUCAGUCAGAGGUGAAAUCCCAGGGCUCAACCUUGGAAUUGCCUUUGAUACUGCGAUGCUUGAGUUCGAGAGAGGGUGGCGGAAUACCCAGUGUAGAGGUGAAAUUCGUAGAUAUUGGGUAGAACACCAGUGGCGAAGGCGGCCACCUGGCU
rnacentral:rRNA from 1 species